rnacentral:miRNA from 1 species
UAGUAUAGUCAUUAAUAUUAAUUAUGAACAACUAUGUAAUAUUAAUUGUAGAUUAAAAUAUCUAUUAAUUUAAGAUUUAUUUAAUUGAUAUAUAUAUA